CAUUUCCGCUGGCGCUGGGCGGGUGAGGCGUUUCCUGUUGUUGUCGCUGCUGCCGCCGGCCCCAUCCAGCGCCGUGCCACGCUGCCCGGGUCCAACUCCCGCAAUCUCCAGACAUCCGCACCUUCCCGCGCUGUCGGCUCUGUCAGCGCCGCUGUCCUGCGUCGUAGUCGCGGUGCCCGGGGCCGUGCGGGCUCUGCUCUCUUGGGAGCAGAUGGAGACUGUCCUUUGGACGGCUUUGCGGGCGGUGCCGCAGGCAGCACCCCUUUCUGCCCUGCAGGACCCUGAUCCGCAGCUCCUGAUGCCGCCCUUGUGUGCAGGGGUGAGGCCUGCUGGGAGUGUCUUGUGACUGCUGUUCCACAGAUGUGAGAGGCGACCUCAGGGAGAACUUGAUCGGGAGGUCCCAGGUGGGUCUGUGUGCAGAGGCUCCAUGGGAGGUGUCAUUUUACCAGCCUGCGGUAGGCUGUGGGGCCCGAGGUGGCAGACUUCCCAGCCUGCUUUCUGGCUCACGUCUGUGAGGGUAUUGUUGCUGACUGGGCGCUCGGUGCGGUCAUCCAUCUGCAGCAGGCUGACUGGCUGCCUUCUGUGCUGUGCACCUGCCGAUGAGUUCCGGAAGCAGAAACCCCGCAGUGGUGUCUUCACUCUCUGGACUCAGACAGCCUGCUGGUGCCCCUGAGAAAUCAGCCUGGUGCUCCUGAGAGAGACAGCUUGGUGCCCCUGAGAGGAAUGUCUUGGCUCCCAGGUCAGCCUUAGAUCAGGAGCUGUUGAAGUAAGUCCCAAGGCCAUGAGUCAGGGACCCUCGGGAUGACUUGGGAUCUGGGUUUGCUGAUAUGUCUCCCCAAGAUUCUCUUGGUGUUAGUGGACAGCAGAGGAACAGAGGAUGGUGAGGGAGUCCCUGCAGAAGGCAUCCCCAGAGCACCUCCUGCUGUGACACAGAGCAUCAUGGAUCAACUCUUCACUCCACGUAGGGGAUCAGAGGGAAAGCGCUGGGGCUGGGGUCCACGUCAGCUGGCUGAGUCUUGACAACAGUGCCCUGAGAAGCCAUGGACAGGGAAGGCCAGCCCCGUGUCCCUCUGCUAUGCCUGGAAUGAUCUUAAUGACCAAGACUUUUUCUCUUGUAUUGCAGCUGCUCAUCACUUUACUCUCUGCCCACCAUUCAAUAAACCUUACAGACUCGCUGUGCCUGACUUUUAAGUCCAUAACAAGCCAUGUGCCACGUGGAGAAGUGGAUCACAGGCCAGUCUUGUUUUCACCCCCUGAGCCUCUCCUGUCAUGCUCCUGGGGCUCGGCACACAGGCUGUAGUUGCAUUAGGACUGAGACAGUAGCUGGCUCAGAUUCAGGGCCCGUGAAAGAAUGGAAGGUUCGAGGAAUAGUCAGGCCAGGGCUUUGAAGGGUGGCUGGUGACAGUGGGCUGGAGUGAGGCAGGCACCGAUGUCCAUGAGGAAGCUGGGUUGGCCCGAGUUCUGGCUCCUGGCUCAUGAGUAAAUGCCUGCUUUUGUGGUCAACCGACCUGGUUUGCCUGGGAUUGAGGGGUUUCCCAGGACAUGGGACUUGAUUGUUAAAUCCAGAAAAGUCCUGGGCAAACUGGAAGGAGUUGGUCAUCUUAACCUCGGGAGUCAAAUACAUGAUGUCAGCCUGAGAGGACAGGUUACUGAGUAAAGGCGGGAGGGAGCAGGGUGAAGGUGGAGCAGCCACUGUUGGUGGAACUUGUGGCUAUCCUCAAGGUCAGGCUUUUGGAGGUAAUUGUGGUAAGUCAAUAAUAGCAGUAAUGUGAUUAUGGUCUAAGGAUGUGCAUGUGUGAACUUUUUAAUUCCCAUAUUAUAGAUGGAUGGGUCUCUGUGAGGAAAUAGGUCCCAAAGGCCAUGAUGAAAGGCUGGAGUUAAUUGUCCAAUUUCUGCACUUGAACUUGCCUUGAUGAAUUUGACACCUUGAUGGGCUCCUUUUCAGGGGCAGGCAGGUGUUCU